GUAAUGCAUACAACAGACUCCCGUUUGUCGAGCGAAGUAAAAUGUAUAAUAUACCACGCGUUUACGUUAGCGAGCCCGGUCAAUAUACAGAAGAACUUGUAAGAUAGCUCGUAGAUUGAGCCGAUUGCAUUUUCCACUAAUAGUACUGGCGGGCAUUGAUUAUCAUACUCCACUACUAGAAUGUUAUUGCACGCCAUGUGCAGGAGUAACCAUUAUGUCACGUCAAUGCGCAAUUCUACUAAUGCAGUGUAGUAUGUUAUAUUCGUGAAACAACAGAGCUAUAUGAAUAUUAUGUAGCGCGAGAGAGAGAGAGAGAGAGAGAGAGAGAGAGAGAGAGAGAGAGAGAGAGAGAGAGAGAAAGAGAGAGAGAGAGAGCGAUAUGUAGAUAGAAGAGGAUAACGUUUGCGGCACAUAUGCCUCCUUCUCCCCGCUCAUCUCGCAAAUCUAUUUUACUGAACGACACUUCCUCCACCUGUUGCUUAUAGAAUAUGCGUAUUCGCUUUUCGAUGCGGUGCGGCUAUAUUUGUAGGUAUUCUGUGACAUGCAUACACGUGUGUACACUGUAUAUACAAAUUUUACACUCUGUUAUUUGUAUAGCUGGUGAAAGGAGGACGGAGAGCGGAAGGAAGAGAAAAAAGGCGCUGUAAGGCAAUACAACAUUCAAAAGAUAAUUGUCAUGCAACUGGACUCAAGUCUACGUAUAAUACAUAUAGGGCAUAGACGAGUAAUGAGUACAUGCAUAAUACCCAUACAUGUAUCUAAUAAUGGUAAAUUUCGAGUAUGCGUAACCUGGUUGAAUCGAAACUGACCCCACCGCUGAAGGUUGGCACCGGCAGCCUCUAACG
rnacentral:lncRNA from 1 species